UCCCGGGGCUCUCCGCCCUCGGGGCCCCCCUGACCCACCCCAGGGCGGGCUGAUCUCCCCUUGGGGGGUCGGAGUCAAGAAUGAGCGCGUCAACUGGGGCAUAUUAACACGUAGGAAAACACACCAGCACCUGGAGAAACAGGAGCUGGGACCGGGGGAGGGCGGCCGGGGCCUUGGAAGUCAGAGCCCGAAAGGAGCGAUAAUUCACCCGAGCGUCCGCGGCCUCCCGCCCGCUCCCCACCCCCGCGCCCGGCCUCCGGUUUCAAAGGCGGACAAACAGCGCGCGGUGCCGGUCCCGGCUCCUCGCUAAAUCUCCCUGUCUUCAACUUCUUGUAACUUGAGCCGCCAGAGCUGCCCCUCCCUCGGAGGCCGGACGGGCAGGGAAGCAAGCCAAGCAGAUCGCCUGGUGAAGAGCAUUCUAAGCAGAGGGAACAGCAAAGGCAGAAUGCUGCAUCCCUCCGGUAUUCAAUCUCAGACAGCCCCAGAGUGACCCGUAGAAUGUGGCAAAAGUAAUACUGUGUGACUUCCAAGACUAGGCCAGAAAAAACUUUCCUGCCUGGGCCCUCUUGACAGGUUCACUGUCCAGCACCAGGGCAGAAGUCCAACCACCCUGAGCCCACCACACUCUGAGGAAGCCCAAGCUAGCCACAUGGAGCAGCCACAAGGAGAGAGAAAAAAGAUACUUGGCCAAGCACCCAGCUGAGCUGCCAGAUACAGGAGUGAGGAAGAUAGCCUGGACAUGCCCCCCCAGUCAGCCCCAUCCCAGCAGCCACCUAACUGGAGCCCCCAAGAAACCCCAAGCAAGAACCACCCAGCUGAGCCCAGUCAGCACACAGAACUAGGACAGAUAAAAAUGAAUUUUCAACCGAAAGUUUU